CUUAAUGUUUCUAGCUGUCAGCCACUAUUACUGUGAAACUGCGAAUGGCUCAUUAAAUCAGUUAUCGUUUAUUUGAUAGUACCUUACUACUUGGAUAACCGUGGUAAUUCUAGAGCUAAUACAUGCUAAAAAUCCCGACCUCUGGAAGGGAUGUAUUUAUUAGAUAAAAAACCAAUGCCUUCGGGCUCCUUGGUGAUUCAUGAUAACUUAACGAAUCGCAUGGCCUUGCGCCGGCGAUGGUUCAUUCAAAUUUCUGCCCUAUCAACUUUCGAUGGUAGGAUAGUGGCCUACCAUGGUUUCAACGGGUAACGGGGAAUUAGGGUUCGAUUCCGGAGAGGGAGCCUGAGAAACGGCUACCACAUCCAAGGAAGGCAGCAGGCGCGCAAAUUACCCAAUCCCAAUCCGGGGAGGUAGUGACAAUAAAUACUGAUACAGGGCUCUUUUGGGUCUUGUAAUUGGAAUGAGUACAAUUUAAAUCCCUUAACGAGGAACAAUUGGAGGGCAAGUCUGGCCCCC
rnacentral:rRNA from 1 species